UUCUUUAAGAAAAUAAUUUAAAGUAACUCCUGCUCAAUGUAAUAAAAAUAAAUAGCCGCAGAACUCCUGUGCUAAGGUAGCAUAAUCAUUUACUUCCUAAUUAGAAGAGCGUAUGAAAGGAUAAACGAUUUAAAACUGUCUCUGCACAACAAACUAACUUAAUACUUACGUAAAAAAGCAUAAAUACAAUAACAAGACGACAAGACCCUGAUAAACUUAACAAUUAGUUGGGGCGACAAAAUAAAAAAACCUUAUUAUUCACAAAACCUAAACCUUUAAAAAAAUAAAGAAAAGUUACUACAGGGAUAACAGCGCUAUUCUUCUCUAGAGUCCUAAUCAAAAGAAAAAUUUACGACCUCGAUGUUGAAUUAAUUUACCUAAAUGGGGCAAAACCUAUUAAAGAAAGUCUGUUCGACUUACAAUAAAUU
rnacentral:rRNA from 2 species